UCACGCUUAUAUUUUGUUAAUUGUGCCAUUCCGAUGUGUUGCCAUAACAAAUUGAUGAGAAAAUACUUAUUUAUUGAGAACCAAAUAGUUAAUUUUUCUUGACGUGUUUUUGGUGUGAUUUCACAUUUCAGUGUCUUGAAUCUCCAUUACUGGAGGUUGGCCCUCAGUCUCUUGAAGCGUGUCAUGUCCUGUGCCAGAUGCAGCAAUGUCGCAGUCGCAAAAGCCGUCCAGUCCCUAAUGUUGCAAAGCCAUGAUUAAAUGAUUAAACGUAAUUUGUAUAGCAAAUUCAAUUAUAAUACGCGUGUAAAUAAAUAAUAUGUAAAUUAA